rnacentral:sRNA from 2 species
UGGGUGGCAAGUUAAUUGAUGGCACAGAGUCGCCGCGUUUUUUCCUGAACCAUUCAGCUUUCUUGUGUUUGAAUAGGAAUGAAAUGGAAGUGUAUGAGCAAGGACGAACCAAUCCCAUCCCUUCAACAAAAGAGAAAAGGAGAAAAAAAAGGAGAAGUAAAAAGAAAACCAAGCACAGAGGAAUGGGGAUAGAAGAGUAGGUUUGAACAUCAAAUAAACACCCGGUGUCAAAAACACUCUACAUGCUAUCCUAUCCCCAAAUCAAUGCACCACAUGAAUGAUAACUUGUACAUAGUCCCCGAGAGUGAAACUGAACAUCGUUAACAUACCAUCCCAUCUUUAUGUUUGGGUCACAAAAACCCAAUAUAUAUAAUAACCUCCACACCCCACAUGGGAAAGAAGAAUUUAAUUCAAAUCAUGACACA